UCUUCCACUCCGUGCUCCGUGCUCGCGUAGUUUCUAAUGAUUCUUCUGUGUAGCUCUUAAUGUUCUUCCACUCUGUGCUCUGCACUUGUAUAGUCUCUAAUGAUUCUUCUGUGUAGCUCCUUAUAUUCCCCUGCUCUGUGUUCUGUGCUUGUGUAGUCUCUAAUGAUUCUUCUGUGUAGCCUUCAAUGAUUCCCCUGCCUCACAUUCCACACUCACAUAACUUCUAACAAUUCUUAUGUAUAUCUCUUAAUGUUCUUCCACUCCGCACUCCACUGUGGAGUGGCUUCUGAUAUUCUUCCACUCUGAACUUUCCUCUAUAAGAACCCUCUUUGUAUGACCUUUUCUUCUGAUUUCUUUUCUCUUUCUUUUCUUAAUCAAUUUGUAAUCUGUAAUUAGGAUAGUACCAAAUUGUUAAUUGAAGUACGCCCGUUACAUUA
rnacentral:sRNA from 1 species